UCCCCCCUUUCCUCUCCCUCCCUCUCGGCUCCCGCAUUUUCCCUCGGCGGCCGGCGGCUCCGACAUCAUGCUCCGGCUCCUCCGGCCGCUGCUGUUACUGCUGCUGCUGCCUCCCCCGGGGUCCCCUGAGCCCCCCGGCCUGGCCCAGCUGUCCCCGGGAGCGCCCCCGCAGGCUCCCGACUUGCUCUACGCGGACGGGCUGCGCGCCUACGCUGCCGGGGCUUGGGCGCCGGCCGUGGCGCUGCUGCGGGAGGCGCUGCGGAGCCAGGCGGCGCUGGGCCGGGUGCGGCUGGAUUGCGGGGCGAGCUGCGCGGCCGAGCCGGGCGCCGCGCUCCCCGCCGUGCUUCUCGGGGCCCCGGAGCCCGACUCCGGGCCGGGACCCACGCAGGGGUCCUGGGAGCGACAGCUCCUCCGUGCAGCGCUCCGCCGCGCAGACUGCCUGACCCAGUGCGCAGCACGGAGGCUGGGCCCCGGGGGCGCGGCGCGGCUUCGCGUGGGGAGCACGCUCCGGGACGCCUUCCGCCGUCGGGAGCCCUACAACUACCUGCAGAGGGCCUAUUACCAGUUGAAGAAGCUGGAUCUGGCAGCCGCCGCAGCACACACCUUCUUUGUAGCAAACCCUAUGCACCUGCAGAUGCGAGAGGACAUGGCUAAGUACAGACGAAUGUCGGGAGUUCAGCCCCAGAGCUUCCGGGACCUGGAGACGCCGCCACACUGGGCAGCCUAUGACACCGGCCUGGAGCUACUGGAGCGCCAGGAGGCAGGACUGGCACUGCCCAGGCUAGAGGAGGCCCUGCAGGGGAGCCUGGCCCAGAUGGAGAGCUGCCGUGCUGACUGCCAGGGGCCUGAGGAGCAGGAGGGGGCUGAAGAAGAGGAGGAUGAGGCUGGGAGCCAGGGGGGCCUCUAUGAGGCCAUUGCAAGACACUGGAUUCAGGUCCUGCAGUGCCGGCAACGCUGUGUAGGGGAAACAGCCACACGCCCUGGUCGCAGCUUCCCUGUCCCAGACUUCCUUCCCAGCCAGCUGAGGCGGCUACAUGAGGCCCAUGCUCAGGUGGGCAAUCUGUCCCAGGCUAUAGAAAAUGUCCUGAGUGUCCUGCUCUUCUACCCGGAUGAUGAGGCUGCCAAGAGGGCUCUGAACCAGUACCAGGCCCAGCUGGGAGAGCCGAGACCUGGCCUCGGACCCAGAGAGGACAUCCAACGCUUCAUCCUCCGAUCCCUGGGGGAGAAGAGGCAGCUCUACUAUGCCAUGGAGCACCUGGGGACCAGCUUCAAGGAUCCUGACCCCUGGACCCCUGCAGCUCUCAUCCCUGAGGCACUUAGAGAAAAGCUCAGAGAGGAUCAAGAGAAGAGGCCUUGGGACCAUGAGCCCCCGAAGCCAAAGCCCUUGACCUACUGGAAGGAUGUCCUUCUCCUGGAGGGUGUGACCUUGACCCAGGAUUCCAGGCAGCUGAAUGGGUCGGAGCGGGCGGUGUUGGAUGGGCUGCUCACCCCAGCCGAGUGUGGGGUGCUGCUGCAGCUGGCUAAGGAUGCAGCUGGGGCUGGAGCCAGGUCUGGCUAUCGUGGUCGCCGCUCCCCUCACACCCCCCAUGAACGCUUCGAGGGGCUCACAGUGCUUAAGGCUGCACAGCUGGCCCGGGCUGGGACAGUGGGCACUCAGGGGGCUAAGCUGCUUCUGGAGGUGAGCGAGCGGGUGCGGACCUUGACCCAGGCCUACUUCUCCCCGGAACGGCCCCUGCAUCUGUCCUUCACCCACCUGGUGUGCCGCAGCGCCAUAGAAGGAGAGCAAGAGCAGCGCAUGGACCUGAGUCACCCAGUGCACGCAGACAACUGCGUCCUGGACCCCGACACAGGAGAGUGCUGGCGGGAGCCCCCAGCCUACACCUAUCGGGACUACAGUGGACUCCUCUACCUCAACGAUGACUUCCAGGGUGGGGACCUGUUCUUCACGGAGCCCAACGCCCUCACUGUCACAGGAGUGAGGGCCAAGUUCUCUGAGAGAGCCGGUCCCUGGAGCUGAACCUGCCCUCAUCCCCCCAGGCUCGGGUGCGUCCUCGCUGUGGACGCCUUGUAGCCUUCAGCUCCGGUGGGGAGAAUCCCCAUGGGGUGUGGGCCGUGACUCGGGGACGGCGCUGUGCCCUGGCGCUGUGGCACACAUGGGCACCUGAGCACAGGGAGCAGGAGUGGAUAGAAGCCCAAGAACUGCUGCAGGAGUCAGAGGAGGAGGAGGAGGAGGAAGAGGAAGAAAUGCCCAGCAAAGACCCUUCCCCAGAGCCCCCUAGCCGCAGGCACCAGAGGGUCCAAGACAAGGCUGGAAAGGCACCUCGGGUUCGGGAGGAGCUGUGAGUGGCUGAGCCAGCUCCUUGAGGAUGGGGCCACUUGACUUGUGCAAGGCCAUCUUGAUGCCAGGACCCACAGAAAGCCCCUGCGUGACAUCAGGAGCAGAACAGCAAGCUCUCUGUCCCUGCACCCCCACCAUCUUGGGGACCCACAAGGGCCUGGACUCAGAGGACAAUGCACAGGGUAGCCUGGAGCUCACCAGGGCUGGGGAGCCGGGACUGGGCCCAGCUGCCAGACCUGCAGCCCCGGACAGAUGGGGAACACUGUGUCUCCCUGAACGGAAAUGGCAGGGGAGGAGGCUGAUGCUUUACAUGAAGAGGAUGGUGGGGUUGGGGGCAUAACCCUGCUGCUCUCUCCCACUCUGUGCAAUAAAGGUCAUGAAGAUCCCUCA